rnacentral:siRNA from 1 species
CGGGCGUCGGCCUGUGGGCUCCC